UCGAGUCGUGCGUCGGAGAGCCCGUUUAGGUUUAGCGGGGGGAGACGGUGAUCUCGGACUCCGGGGCGGUGAGGGUGCCGUUCUUAAGCUCGAAGAACGCCUUCACGGGCCACGCACCAGCCGCCAUCAUCAGGCCGAGCGCGGUGGGCACGUCGAUGAUGAUCUCACCCUCGGUGGGCUUCGCCUUCUCCUUGUUGAGCAUGACGUAAGAGCGGCCGGCGUAGCCGAUCCAGCCGGCGACGUAGAGGAAGCCGAGGCCGGGGAUGGCGAACUCGCCGAGGUGCUCGAGGUUACCGUCCACGAUCAGGUGGGGCAGGCCGUCGGCGCCGCAGAGGAGGCCAGCCUCGCCGUAGUUCUUGAAGCGCUGGGACGUCUUGUCCAUGGUCGCCUUGAGAGCGAGCGCGGGGGCAGACUCGGGGUCGUACUUCUUGAGGCGCUUCUCGAGAGCCUUGAUCUCCUGCUUCUCGCGCUUGGCGAACGCCUU
rnacentral:lncRNA from 1 species